GUCCAGUUACCCCUCACCCCAGUCCCCUUUGGACCGGUGGGGAAGAUCCCGGUUCGCACGCUGCUGUAGCAUGACCACGUGGUGUUGCCGCAAAACCAAGCAGCAAACAUCAUGACCAACGCAUCAUGGCAGAUGCCGCGUGUUCCCCCAGUCAAAGCAGUGAGAAACUUUACCACCUUUACAACUUGACCAAGCUCAAAUUUUGGCAGAAGCUAG